AUGAUCUUCAUCAGCAUCUUCAUCUGGAUGAUAUCCAGCUUCUGUUUCAGAGAAUCAAGAGGUGAAGUGACCGUCAUUCAGACACCUGCAGAAAAAUCUGCUCAUCUAGGAGACACAGUUAAUAUCACCUGUAAAACUAAUCCUCAUGUCUAUGAGUACUGGGGUGAUCCUCCUUUAUACUGGUACUUACAGAAACCUGGAGAAACUCCUAAACUCCUGAUAUAUUCUGCAUCAAAACGCUUCACAGAAACUCCAUCAAGAUUCAGUGGCAGUGGAACUACAACAGAUUUUACUCUGAGCAUCAAUGGAGUUCAGACUGAAGAUGCAGGAGAUUAUUACUGUAUGGCUGUACAACGUCCUAGCAGCUAUGUGUUCACACAGUGA